rnacentral:rRNA from 1 species
GUGGGGAAUAUUGGACAAUGGGCGAAAGCCUGAUCCAGCCAUGCCGCGUGUGUGAAGAAGGUCUUCGGAUUGUAAAGCACUUUAAGUUGGGAGGAAGGGCAGUAAGUUAAUACCUUGCUGUUUUGACGUUACCAACAGAAUAAGCACCGGCUAACUUCGUGCCAGCAGCCGCGGUAAUACGAAGGGUGCAAGCGUUAAUCGGAAUUACUGGGCGUAAAGCGCGCGUAGGUGGUUCAGCAAGUUGGAGGUGAAAUCCCCGGGCUCAACCUGGGAACUGCCUCCAAAACUACUGAGCUAGAGUACGGUAGAGGGUAGUGGAAGUUCCUGUGUAGCGGUGAAAUGCGUAGAUAUAGGAAGGAACACCAGUGGCGAAGGCGACUACCUGGACUGAUACUGACACUGAGGUGCGAAAGCGUGGGGAGCAAACAGGAUUAGAAACCCUAGUAGUCC